GGGCGGGAGGGGCGCGGCCUCACCUGCAGCUCCCCUGCGAGAGGCUGAGGAUCUUAAGUGUCCUGACUGCAAAGCUGAUGUUACAGUGAACUUGUCCUGAAAUUGAUACUGGAUGGUACAGAACAAUGCCAAUGGUGAUGAUAAUACAAAACUUCCAUAUAUGCCAGACAAAAGGAGGACCUCAUAGUCUAAGGAAGACACCCAUAGUUGCCACCCUGAACGAUGAAGGCAUGUCAACACACUAGGUGUGCAUUUCAGUCCUAAAUGUUACCAUGAAGAGCUAGAUUCCGUGAAACAUUAAAUUCACUCUAGAAGCAGGAAUGAUUCCCAAGAAGAUAUUUCAAAAGGAGAAAUAAGAUACC